UGAAACAUCUCAGUACCCGGAGGAAAGGACAUCAACCGAGACUCCGCUAGUAGUGGCGAGCGAACGCGGACCAGGCCUGGUCUGAAAUAAGGAGAAGUAUCUGGGAAGGUACGCCGUAGUGGGUGAUAGCCCCGUAUCCGAAACCUGAGUCUAGUGAAAUCGAGUAGGACGGGACACGAGACAUCCUGUCUGAACAUGGGGGGACC
rnacentral:rRNA from 16 species